UGGGGGAUAACGUUCGGAAACGGACGCUAAUACCGCAUACGUCCUACGGGAGAAAGCAGGGGACCUUCGGGCCUUGCGCUAUCAGAUGAGCCUAGGUCGGAUUAGCUAGUUGGUGAGGUAAUGGCUCACCAAGGCGACGAUCCGUAACUGGUCUGAGAGGAUGAUCAGUCACACUGGAACUGAGACACGGUCCAGACUCCUACGGGAGGCAGCAGUGGGGAAUAUUGGACAAUGGGCGAAAGCCUGAUCCAGCCAUGCCGCGUGUGUGAAGAAGGUCUUCGGAUUGUAAAGCACUUUAAGUUGGGAGGAAGGGUUGUAGAUUAAUACUCUGCAAUUUUGACGUUACCGACAGAAUAAGCACCGGCUAACUCUGUGCCAGCAGCCGCGGUAAUACAGAGGGUGCAAGCGUUAAUCGGAAUUACUGGGCGUAAAGCGCGCGUAGGUGGUUUGUUAAGUUGGAUGUGAAAUCCCCGGGCUCAACCUGGGAACUGCAUUCAAAACUGACUGACUAGAGUAUGGUAGAGGGUGGUGGAAUUUCCUGUGUAGCGGUGAAAUGCGUA
rnacentral:rRNA from 1 species